GACGAACGCUGGCGGCGUGCUUAACACAUGCAAGUCGAACGGAAAGGCCCUGCUUUUGCGGGUCGCACGAGUGGCGAACGGGUGAGUAACACGCGAGUAACCUGCCCUUGUAUUUGGGAUAUCUUCAGGAAACAGGGGAUCAUACCCGAUAGGAUAUCUUGCAGCAUGGUGGGGGUUGGAAAGUUUCGGCGGUUGGGGAUGGACUAGAGGGUUAUUAGCUUGUUGGGGGGGUAGUUGAUUACCCAGCUUUUGAAGGGUAGCCUGCCUGGGAGGGUUACCGGCCACCUUAGGCCUAAGAUACGGACCAGACUCCUACGGGAGGCAAUGGUGGGGAGUCUUACGCAAUGAGGCCGCGUGUGAUGUGGAAACGUCGCGUGCGGGAAGACGGCUUUCGAGGUGUGAACCACUUUCGCCUUUGACAUAGCCUGAUUGACGGUAAUGGGUAAAGAAGCACCGGCUAACUACGUG
rnacentral:rRNA from 1 species